ACUCAAAUGAAUUGACGGGGGCCCGCACAAGCAGCGGAGCGUGCGGUUCAAUUCGAUGCGACGCGAAGAACCUCACCAGGGCUUGACAUGCAUGUGGUACCGAACCGAAAGGAGAGGGACCCGCAAGGGAGCAUGCACAGGUGUUGCACGGCUGUCGUCAGCUCGUGUCGUGAGAUGUUGGGUUAAGUCCCGCAACGAGCGCAACCCUCGGGGUCUGUUGUAUCACUCAGACCCGACUGCCGAGAGAAACUCGGAGGAAGGUGGGGAUGACGUCAAGUCCGCGUGGCCCUUAUGCCCUGGGCUACACGCACGCUACAAUGGCCGAUCACAACGGGUCACGACACCGCAAGGUGAAGUUAAUCCCUGAAAAUCGGUCUCAGUUCAGAUCGGAGGCUGCAACCCGCCUCCGUGAAGAUGGAGUUGCUAGUAACCGCCGGUCAGCACACGGCGGUGAAUAUGUUCCCGGGCCUUGUACACACCGCCCGU
rnacentral:rRNA from 1 species